UUAAGUUCAGCGGGUAUUCCUACCUGAUCCGAGGUCAACCUUGGUGCCGCCGGAGCGGGCUUUGGGGGGGUUUAGAGGCAGGAGUCCCACGGGCUUCCGAUGCGAGGCGAAUGCUACUACGCAAAGAAGGGCCUGAAAGGUCCGCCACUGGUUUUCGGGGACCGCCUGGGCGGAUCCCCAACGCCGGGCCACGAGGGCUC
rnacentral:misc_RNA from 1 species